rnacentral:rRNA from 1 species
AGCUGUCCUUAGUACGAGAGGACCGGGAUGGACACACCGCUGGUGUACCAGUUGUUCCGCCAGGAGCAUCGCUGGGUAGCUAUGUGUGGCAGGGAUAAACGCUGAAAGCAUCUAAGCGUGAAGCCCCCCUCAAGAUGAGAUUUCCCAUUUCUUCGGAAAGUAAGAUCCCUGAAAGAUGAUCAGGUAGAUAGGUUUGGAGUGGAAGUGUAGCGAUACAUGGAGCGGACAAAUACUAAUCGAUCGAGGACUUAACCAAAAA